rnacentral:misc_RNA from 1 species
GAUGAAGAACGUAGCGAAAUGCGAUAAGUAAUGUGAAUUGCAGAAUUCAGUGAAUCAUCGAAUCUUUGAACGCACAUUGCGCCCACCAGUAUUCUGGCGGGCAUGCCUGUUCGAGCGUCAUUUCAACCAUCAAGCCCCCGGCUUGUGUUGGGGACCUGCGGCUGCCGCAGGCCCUGAAAACCAGUGGCGGGCUCGCUAGUCACUCCGAGCGUAGUAAUACAUCUCGCUCAGGGCGUGCUGCGGGUUCCGGCCGUUAAAAAAGCCUUAUUUACCCAAGGUUGACCUCGGAUCAGGUAGGAAGACCCGCUGAACUUAAGCAUAUCAAUAAGCGGAGGA